rnacentral:rRNA from 1 species
CUCCUUUGACGUUAGCGGCGGACGGGUGAGUAACACGUGGGUAACCUACCUAUAAGACUGGGAUAACUUCGGGAAACCGGAGCUAAUACCGGAUAAUAUUUCGAACCGCAUGGUUAGAUAGUGAAAGGUGGUUUUGCUAUCACUUAUAGAUGGACCCGCGCCGUAUUAGCUAGUUGGUAAGGUAACGGCUUACCAAGGCGACGAUACGUAGCCGACCUGAGAGGGUGAUCGGCCACACUGGAACUGAGACACGGUCCAGACUCCUACGGGAGGCAGCAGCC